GGAAAAUGGUACAGACUAUUAUGUCCGAAAAGUCAUCUUAAAAUAACGUAACGUUAUAUAGUAUAAGAGCUACUAUGACAGAGUAAAACGAAGUACUAGGUCUCAUUUAAAAGAAAAACAGCAAAAAGAAUUGUUCCUAUUUUACUACUAAAAACACAACUUUUGCAGACAUGGGAUAAAUGAACUUCAGAAGAUAACAGUGUCGAGCAUGGUUCCCAAUGUCUGGACAAUGUUUGAAGACAUCAAAUCAGAUACAUGUUCUUCAAGAUGCUUCUUUGCAUCUUGCCUUCCUACAUUUGCAAUAGCUAGCUUUUCUGGGGUCAACUCAUCCUCUUGCUGCACUGCUUUAUUAUACUUGCCAGCAAGAUUUAACAUCUCCUGAACUGUCUGCUCAUUGGUUUUGGAAUGAGCAUCAAAACGCUGGAGUGCAAGUCCAUCUGUCCAUUUCUUCUUGUGAAGAUUCAGUAGCAUCUUCUCUUCAAGUUCAUUCUUUCUGUAGUUUAUGGCUAUUGAGUAGUAGUGUCUGUUCAAACCAUGGAUCAAUGCUUGAAUAGAUGGUUUGUUCAGAUGUCCCAGAUUUGAUGUUGUCUGACGUGGCUCUUGGCCAAGCAUCAUAGUUUGGGGAUUGAUCAAGCGAAAGGCAUCAAUUACCACCUUCCCUUUAACACUCUG
rnacentral:misc_RNA from 1 species